rnacentral:rRNA from 1 species
UACGAACCGUGCGAACGUUGUUCGGAUUCAUUGGGCGUAAAGGGUGCGUAGGCGGCGCGGUAAGUCGGGUGUGAAAUCUCGGAGCUUAACUCCGAAACUGCAUUCGAUACUGCCGUGCUUGAGGACUGGAGAGGAGACUGGAAUUUACGGUGUAGCGGUGAAAUGCGUAGAGAUCAUGAGGAAGACCAGUGGCGAAGGCGGGUCUCUGGACAGUUCCUGACACUGAGGCACGAAGGCCAGGGGAGCAAACGGG